rnacentral:sRNA from 1 species
GCCGGGUGCAGUGGCACAUGCCUGUAAUCCCAGCGGCUCGGGAGGCUGAGGCAGGAGGAUCACAAGUUCAAAGCCAGCCUCAGCAAAAGUGAGGCACUAAGCAACUCAGUGAGACCCUGUCUCUA